rnacentral:rRNA from 1 species
AGAACGAACGCUGGCGGCAUGCCUAAUACAUGCAAGUCGAACGAACUCUUCGGAGUUAGUGGCGCACGGGUGCGUAACGCGUGGGAAUCUGCCCCUUGGUUCGGAAUAACAGUUGGAAACGACUGCUAAUACCGGAUGAUGACGAAAGUCCAAAGAUUUAUCGCCAAGGGAUGAGCCCGCGUAGGAUUAGCUAGUUGGUGAGGUAAA